rfam:Lactobacillus agilis DSM 20509 NODE_35, whole genome shotgun sequence.
GGGGAUGUUUUGGAUUCGACAGGUAUAGGUCGAGCUUAAACUGCGUUUGGUUUUGCACACCUAAUGUGCUCAGUUAAAAUAUAACUGCAAAAAAUAACACAAACUCUUACGCUUUAGCUGCCUAAUCGCAGUUGCGUAAAUCCACCUGCCAUCGUCCAUGUGUCAGUGUUGGGUUUUAUAAUUAGUGGACUUACGCUUAAUGCUCCCACCUGAAGUGUUGAGAAGAGCUUAAUCAGGUUAGCCUUUAAUGUUAGCCCUGUUGCUUGGCGGAAUUAAGGGUGAAGCUUAAAUGAAGUAACUAUGAGCGUAGACGUUUAAGUGGCGAUAUGCUUGGACGCGGGUUCAAUUCCCGCCAUCUCCAUUU